AGAGUUUGAUCCUGGCUCAGGAUGAACGCCGGCGGUGUGCCUAAUACAUGCAAGUCGAACGCGUUGGCCCAACUGAUUGAACGUGCUUGCACGGACUUGACGUUGGUUUACCAGCGAGUGGCGGACGGGUGAGUAACACGUAGGUAACCUGCCCCAAAGCGGGGGAUAACAUUUGGAAACAGAUGCUAAUACCGCAUAACAAUUUGAAUCGCAUGAUUCAAAUUUAAAAGAUGGCUUCGGCUAUCACUUUGGGAUGGACCUGCGGCGCAUUAGCUUGUUGGUAGGGUAACGGCCUACCAAGGCUGUGAUGCGUAGCCGAGUUGAGAGACUGAUCGGCCACAAUGGAACUGAGACACGGUCCAUACUCCUACGGGAGGCAGCAGUAGGGAAUCUUCCACAAUGGGCGCAAGCCUGAUGGAGCAACACCGCGUGAGUGAAGAAGGGUUUCGGCUCGUAAAGCUCUGUUGUUAGAGAAGAACGUGCGUGAGAGCAACUGUUCACGCAGUGACGGUAUCUAACCAGAAAGUCACGGCUAACUACGUGCCAGCAGCCGCGGUAAUACGUAGGUGGCAAGCGUUAUCCGGAUUUAUUGGGCGUAAAGCGAGCGCAGGCGGUUUGAUAAGUCUGAUGUGAAAGCCUUUGGCUUAACCAAAGAAGUGCAUCGGAAACUGUCAGACUUGAGUGCAGAAGAGGACAGUGGAACUCCAUGUGUAGCGGUGGAAUGCGUAGAUAUAUGGAAGAACACCAGUGGCGAAGGCGGCUGUCUGGUCUGCAACUGACGCUGAGGCUCGAAAGCAUGGGUAGCGAACAGGAUUAGAUACCCUGGUAGUCCAUGCCGUAAACGAUGAGUGCUAGGUGUUGGAGGGUUUCCGCCCUUCAGUGCCGCAGCUAACGCAUUAAGCACUCCGCCUGGGGAGUACGACCGCAAGGUUGAAACUCAAAGGAAUUGACGGGGGCCCGCACAAGCGGUGGAGCAUGUGGUUUAAUUCGAAGCUACGCGAAGAACCUUACCAGGUCUUGACAUCUUGCGCCAACCCUAGAGAUAGGGCGUUUCCUUCGGGAACGCAAUGACAGGUGGUGCAUGGUCGUCGUCAGCUCGUGUCGUGAGAUGUUGGGUUAAGUCCCGCAACGAGCGCAACCCUUGU
rnacentral:rRNA from 1 species